ACACGACUACAUUAGAUACCCCUGUAGUCCCAGCCGUAAACUAUGCGCGUUAGGUGUAUCGGUGACCACGAGUUACCGAGGUGCCGAAGGGAAACCGUGAAACGUGCCGCCUGGGAAGUACGGUCGCAAGGCCGAAACUUAAAGGAAUUGGCGGGGAGCACCACAACAGGUGGAGCCUGCGGUUUAAUUGGACUCAACGCCGGGAAGCUCACCGGAUAGGACAGCAGAAUGAUUGCCGGGCUGAAGACCCUGCAUGACUAGCUG
rnacentral:rRNA from 1 species